UUACAGUUCAUUUUCUUCACCUCUGCGGUCUAUUUACCCUGCAGUUGGGAAAAUUCAUUCAAACUCGUCGAGGAAACAUAUUCCAGUGGGAAUGGGGUCACGCACUACUAGACCUCCGUCGUUAAAUCUACUUUCCUAUUUCUGAUGAUUUCAACUUCGAUAGCUCGGGGAGAUUAACUAGAUAUUUUUCAAGAAAAUGUGAAACAAGAAAUAGGAGUUCCCCAUGAGUUGAAUCAAAUGAAUUCAGAUAUUUCUCGAUGUAUUGGCCGAUUUCAUGCAACAAGUCCAAUUAUCGUGAUAGUCGGAGAACAUGCAAAUUCAGCAGAUAACGCAUCAUCGACUUCUGUCUUGCAAAUAAAAAUUGCACUAAUACGAGUGCAAUUGUUGGUCUAUUGCAUCAACCGUCGGACACAUCGCCGUUGUAAACUGUCGCCAAGUUCUUGAUGAUACGCCAAAGCGUGUCAACGACAUACAGAACAAAAGAUUUCAGACAGGUGUUUCAAAAAUAAAAAAAUCGAGCGAACGAGUUAGUUUUUAUUUAAGAAUAACGAGAGGGUUUUAUACAUCUUUACUUUCUUCUGCAUUAAAAUCUCGAGCUCAGAAUUGUGAAGAAGGAAAGGUUUCGGAUUCUUUCUCUUUUACGAGUGUCUUUAAAACACGUGAAUAUCCGAACAAUUUUUACUGCCUCUCCGGUCUCCGCUUGUCAAUUUUGUUAUCUAAAAACUCCGCCUGGUUAUACAUAAUUGGUCCGAGCCCUCGUAAAUCACGAAAAAAAAAAUUCAUAAUGACCGAAAAUUGCAGUUUUUCGAUUAUUACAUAAAUCUCUGAAUUCAGGCUUUCUAAUUUAUUCUCGUAUCUUCACGAAAUUCUCUAACGUUUCAAAAUAAACAGCCGAAUGUGUACCUCUCUCGACGUUGAAAUAAUAACCUUCAACUCAAGUCCAAACUUAAAAGAUGAUUUCACCAAAAAACAAAAUCAAAGAACGCAAUAAUGAUAUCUAAUGUGAAUCCCGAAUUCCACAAACUACCUAAUAAAUUUCAAACUAUUUAUACUGUUUCAUCUCAUUGCCUCCAAUAAAUAAUUGAAUUCCAAAUCUUUUUACUCAUACCCCACUCGAUAAUUCAAAUUAGCAAUUUCCAUUGAUUACCAAUUUAUCUCUAAACCUAUCACCUCAAGAUAAAAACAUCAAAAGGCUUUUUUACAGCUGAUGAAAUUUUCUCCAAAAAAUAUCUGUUAACAUUUUCGCGUGAACUCAAUAGUCUCAGAGAUCGAUCGAUAAACCAAUAAACCCCAACUCAUCUGACUCCACAACUCGCGAGAGUGUUUUAUCUUUCCACAAGAAAACAAAAAGAAUUCCAAUGAGUCAUUAAGGGCUUCCAGAACCGUCUGUCAUCCCCAGGAUAAU